rnacentral:rRNA from 1 species
UACGUAGGGGGCAAGCGUUGUCCGGAUUUAUUGGGCGUAAAGAGCGUGUAGGCGGCCAUACAGGUCAGCUGUGAAAACUCGAGGCUCAACCUCGAGACGUCGGUUGAAACCGUAUGGCUAGAGUCCGGAAGAGGAGAGUGGAAUUCCCGGUGUAGCGGUGAAAUGCGCAGAUAUCAGGAAGAACACCCGUGGCGAAGGCGGCUCUCUGGGACGGUACUGACGCUGAGACGCGAAAGCGUGGGGAGCGAACAGG